rnacentral:lncRNA from 1 species
UAGAUGGCGUAGUCUUCAGUUGUAAAUAUAGAAGAGUACAGUGACAGUAGUCCUGCCGUUAUUAUUUCUCCGUUUUCUUUAACAACAGCGAAAGAUGUUGUGCAUUCUGUUUUGGAUCCAUCACGUUUUCUUUAGUUGACCCCCAGAAGGGGCUCCAUGCAUUUAAGUCACCUAAUAGGAGAAUUUGAUAGUAAGAUUGACCAACGAAUCGAGUGAUAUCUUGCUCCGAGAAGAGUUGGCUUGGUGUGAUUGUAUGUUGGAAUUUCUUGUUCGAACAGUGUGAGGGAUGUGGUGUUUAACUAGAACACCAAUGACGAAAUUUAUUGAAUAAUUCCACAUAAAAUGGUAUACAUAAAUGACUAA